rnacentral:rRNA from 1 species
CCUACGGGAGGCUGCAGUGGGGAAUAUUGCACAAUGGGGGAAACCCUGAUGCAGCGACGCCGCGUGAGUGAAGAAGUAUUUCGGUACGUAAAGCUCUAUCAGCAGGGAAGAAAAUGACGGUACCUGACUAAGAAGCCCCGGCUAACUACGUGCCAGCAGCCGCGGUAAUACGUAGGGGGCAAGCGUUAUCCGGAUUUACUGGGUGUAAAGGGAGCGUAGACGGCAGCGCAAGUCUGGAGUGAAAUCCCAUGGCUUAACCAUGGAACUGCUUUGGAAACUGUGCAGCUAGAGUGCAGGAGAGGUAAGCGGAAUUCCUGGUGUAGCGGUGAAAUGCGUAGAUAUUAGGAGGAACACCAGUGGCGAAGGCGGCUUACUCGACUGUAACUGACGUUGAGGCUCGAAAGCGUGGGGAGCAAACAGGAUUAGAUACCCGAGUAGUC